AUUGAACGCUGGCGGCAGGCCUAACACAUGCAAGUCGAACGGUAGCACAGAGAGCUUGCUCUUGGGUGACGAGUGGCGGACGGGUGAGUAAUGUCUGGGAAACUGCCCGAUGGAGGGGGAUAACUACUGGAAACGGUAGCUAAUACCGCAUAACGUCGCAAGACCAAAGUGGGGGGACCCUUCGGGCCUCACACCAUCGGAUGUGCCCAGAUGGGAUUAGCUAGUAGGUGGGUAAUGGCUCACCUAGGCGACGAUCCCUAGCUGGUCUGAGAGGAUGACCAGCCACACUGGAACUGAGACACGGUCCAGACUCCUACGGGAGGCAGCAGUGGGAAUAUUGCACAAUGGGCGCAAGCCUGAUGCAGCCAUGCCGCGUGUA
rnacentral:rRNA from 1 species